rnacentral:rRNA from 1 species
AUUGAACGCUGGCGGCAGGCCUAACACAUGCAAGUCGAGCGGCAGCGGAAAGUAGCUUGCUACUUUGCCGGCGAGCGGCGGACGGGUGAGUAAUGUCUGGGAAACUGCCUGAUGGAGGGGGAUAACUACUGGAAACGGUAGCUAAUACCGCAUAACGUCGCAAGACCAAAGAGGGGGACCUUCGGGCCUCUUGCCAUCAGAUGUGCCCAGAUGGGAUUAGCUAGUAGGUGGGGUAACGGCUCACCUAGGCGACGAUCCCUAGCUGGUCUGAGAGGAUGACCAGCCACACUGGAACUGAGACACGGUCCAGACUCCUACGGGAGGCAGCAGUGGGGAAUAUUGCACAAUGAGCGCAAGCCUGAUGCAGCCAUGCCGCGUGUAUGAAGAAGGCCUUCGGGUUGUAAAGUACUUUCAGCGGGGAGGAGGGUGUUGAGGUUAAUAACCUCAGCAAUUGACGUUACCCGCAGAAGAAGCACCGGCUAACUCCGUGCCAGCAGCCGCCGUAACAC